rnacentral:rRNA from 1 species
GGUUAAGCGACUAAGCGUACACGGUGGAUGCCCUGGCAGUCAGAGGCGAUGAAGGGCGUGCUAAUCUGCGAUAAGCGCCGGUAAGGUGAUAUGAACCGUUAUAACCGGCGAUACCCGAAUGGGGAAACCCAGUGUGAUUCGUCACACUAUCAUUAACUGAAUCCAUAGGUUAAUGAGGCGAACCGGGGGAACUGAAACAUCUAAGUACCCCGAGGAAAAGAAAUCAACCGAGAUUCCCCCAGUAGCGGCGAGCGAACGGGGAGGAGCCCAGAGCCUGAAUCAGCANNNNNNNNNNNNNNNNNNNNNNNNNNNNNGCGCGAUACAGGGUGACAGCCCCGUACACAAAAGCGCAUGUGCUGUGAGCUCGAUGAGUAGGGCGGGACACGUGGUAUCCUGUCUGAAUAUGGGGGGACCAUCCUCCAAGGCUAAAUACUCCUGACUGACCGAUAGUGAACCAGUACCGUGAGGGAAAGGCGAAAAGAACCCCGGCGAGGGGAGUGAAAAAGAACCUGAAACCGUGUACGUACAAGCAGUGGGAGCACAGGUUUACCUGUGUGACUGCGUACCUUUUGUAUAAUGGGUCAGCGACUUAUAUUCUGUAGCAAGGUUAACCGUAUAGGGGAGCCGGAGGGAAACCGAGUCUUAACCGGGCGUUAAGUUGCAGGGUAUAGACCCGAAACCCGGUGAUCUAGCCAUGGGCAGGUUGAAGGUUGGGUAACACUAACUGGAGGACCGAACCGACUAAUGUUGAAAAAUUAGCGGAUGACCUGUGGCUGGGGGUGAAAGGCCAAUCAAACCGGGAGAUAGCUGGUUCUCCCCGAAAGCUAUUUAGGUAGCGCCUCGUGAAUUCAUCUCCGGGGGUAGAGCACUGUUUCGGCUAGGGGGCCAUCCCGGCUUACCAACCCGAUGCAAACUGCGAAUACCGGAGAAUGUUAUCACGGGAGACACACGGCGGGUGCUAACGUCCGUCGUGAAGAGGGAAACAACCCAGACCGCCAGCUAAGGUCCCAAAGUCAUGGUUAAGUGGGAAACGAUGUGGGAAGGCCCAGACAGCCAGGAUGUUGGCUUAGAAGCAGCCAUCAUUUAAAGAAAGCGUAAUAGCUCACUGGUCGAGUCGGCCUGCGCGGAAGAUGUAACGGGGCUAAACCAUGCACCGAAGCUGCGGCAGCGAACGUAUCACCCAAGACAACUUUACGGAGUUGACGAUUGACGGAGCGAAGCGACGUCAAAGCGUUCAUUAAAGUCGAGUUGGCUUAGGGAUACGUUCGUUGGGUAGGGGAGCGUUCUGUAAGCCUGUGAAGGUGUGUCGUGAGGCAUGCUGGAGGUAUCAGAAGUGCGAAUGCUGACAUAAGUAACGAUAAAGCGGGUGAAAAGCCCGCUCGCCGGAAGACCAAGGGUUCCUGUCCAACGUUAAUCGGGGCAGGGUGAGUCGACCCCUAAGGCGAGGCCGAAAGGCGUAGUCGAUGGGAAACGGGUUAAUAUUCCCGUACUUGGUGUUACUGCGAAGGGGGGACGGAGAAGGCUAUGUUGGCCGGGCGACGGUUGUCCCGGUUUAAGCGUGUAGGUGUGUGUUCCAGGUAAAUCCGGUUCACUUUAACACUGAGGCGUGACGACGAGGCACUACGGUGCUGAAGCAACAAAUGCCCUGCUUCCAGGAAAAGCCUCUAAGCAUCAGGUAACACGAAAUCGUACCCCAAACCGACACAGGUGGUCAGGUAGAGAAUACCAAGGCGCUUGAGAGAACUCGGGUGAAGGAACUAGGCAAAAUGGUGCCGUAACUUCGGGAGAAGGCACGCUGACACGUAGGUGAAGUGAUUUACUCAUGGAGCUGAAGUCAGUCGAAGAUACCAGCUGGCUGCAACUGUUUAUUAAAAACACAGCACUGUGCAAACACGAAAGUGGACGUAUACGGUGUGACGCCUGCCCGGUGCCGGAAGGUUAAUUGAUGGGGUCAGCGUAAGCGAAGCUCCUGAUCGAAGCCCCGGUAAACGGCGGCCGUAACUAUAACGGUCCUAAGGUAGCGAAAUUCCUUGUCGGGUAAGUUCCGACCUGCACGAAUGGCGUAAUGAUGGCCAGGCUGUCUCCACCCGAGACUCAGUGAAAUUGAACUCGCUGUGAAGAUGCAGUGUACCCGCGGCAAGACGGAAAGACCCCGUGAACCUUUACUAUAGCUUGACACUGAACAUUGAGCCUUGAUGUGUAGGAUAGGUGGGAGGCUUUGAAGUGUGGACGCCAGUCUGCAUGGAGCCGACCUUGAAAUACCACCCUUUAAUGUUUGAUGUUCUAACGUGGACCCGUAAUCCGGGUUGCGGACAGUGUCUGGUGGGUAGUUUGACUGGGGCGGUCUCCUCCUAAAGAGUAACGGAGGAGCACGAAGGUUGGCUAAUCCUGGUCGGACAUCAGGAGGUUAGUGCAAUGGCAUAAGCCAGCUUGACUGCGAGCGUGACGGCGCGAGCAGGUGCGAAAGCAGGUCAUAGUGAUCCGGUGGUUCUGAAUGGAAGGGCCAUCGCUCAACGGAUAAAAGGUACUCCGGGGAUAACAGGCUGAUACCGCCCAAGAGUUCAUAUCGACGGCGGUGUUUGGCACCUCGAUGUCGGCUCAUCACAUCCUGGGGCUGAAGUAGGUCCCAAGGGUAUGGCUGUUCGCCAUUUAAAGUGGUACGCGAGCUGGGUUUAGAACGUCGUGAGACAGUUCGGUCCCUAUCUGCCGUGGGCGCUGGAGAACUGAGGGGGGCUGCUCCUAGUACGAGAGGACCGGAGUGGACGCAUCACUGGUGUUCGGGUUGUCAUGCCAAUGGCACUGCCCGGUAGCUAAAUGCGGAAGAGAUAAGUGCUGAAAGCAUCUAAGCACGAAACUUGCCCCGAGAUGAGUUCUCCCUGAGACUUAGAGUCUCCUGAAGGAACGUUGAAGACGACGACGUUGAUAGGCCGGGUGUGUAAGCGCAGCGAUGCGUUGAGCUAACCGGUACUAAUGAACCGUGAGGCUUAACCUU